GAUGAAGAACGUAGCGAAAUGCGAUACGUAUUGUGAAUUGCAGAAUUCAGUGAAUCAUCGAGUCUUUGAACGCACAUUGCGCCCCCUGGUAUUCCGGGGGGCAUGCCUGUCCGAGCGUCAUUGCUGCCCUCAAGCACGGCUUGUGUGUUGGGCCUCCGUCCUCCUCCCGGGGGACGGGCCCGAAAGGCAGCGGCGGCACCGCGUCCGGUCCUCGAGCGUAUGGGGCUUCGUCACCCGCUCUUGUAGGCCCGGCCGGCGCUUGCCGACACAUCAAUCUUUUUUCCAGGUUGACCUCGGAUCAGGUAGGGAUACCCGCUGAACUUAAGCAUAUCAAUAAGCGGAGGA
rnacentral:misc_RNA from 1 species